rnacentral:tRNA from 1 species
AGCCACGUAGCUCAGUUGAAUAGAGCGUUGGCUGUACUAAAGCCUUUCUCUUGGUGGCGUGGGAUUGAAUCCCACCGAGGCCG